AUUGAACGCUGGCGGUAGGCUUAACACAUGCAAGUCGAGCGAGCGGCGGACGGGUGAGUAAUGUCUGGGAAACUGCCUGAUGGAGGGGGAUAACUACUGGAAACGGUAGCUAAUACCGCAUACCAUCAGAUGUGCCCAGAUGGGAUUAGCUAGUAGGUGGGGUAAUGGCUCACCGAGGCGACGAUCCCUAGCUGGUCUGAGAGGAUGACCAGCCACACGGGAACGUAGACACGGUCCAGACUCCUACGGGAGGCAGCAGUGGGGAAUAUUGCACAAUGGGGGCAAGCCUGAUGCAGCCAUGCCGCGUGUGUGAAGAAGGCCUUCGGGUUGUAAAGCACUUUCAGCGAGGAGGCGUUACCCGCAGAAGAAGCACCGGCUAACUCCGUGCCAGCCGCCGCGGUAAUUC
rnacentral:rRNA from 1 species